rnacentral:rRNA from 1 species
UGCUGGCGACCGGCAAACGGGUGCGGAACACGUACGCAACCUACCCAAAACUGGGGAAUAGCCCGGGGAAACCCGGAUUAAUACCUCGUAACAUUGUGAAGUGGCAUCAUUUUACAAUUAUAGCUCCGGCGGUUUUGGAUGGGCGUGCGCCUGAUUAGGUAGUUGGUAGGGGUAACGGCCCACCAAGCCUUCGAUCAGUAACUGGUGUGAGAGCACGACCAGUCACACGGGCACUGAGACACGGGCCCGACUCCUACGGGAGGCAGCAGUAAGGAAUAUUGGUCAAUGGACGCAAGUCUGAACCAGCCAUGCCGCGUGAAGGAUGAAGGUCCUCUGGAUUGUAAACUUCUUUUAUGGGGGACGAAACCUCUUUUUCUAAAGAGACUGACGGUACCCUAGGAAUAAGCACCGGCUAACUCCGUGCCAGCAGCCGCGGUAAUACGGAGGGUGCAAGCGUUA